UACGUAGGGUGCAAGCGUUGUCCGGAAUUAUUGGGCGUAAAGAGCUCGUAGGCGGUCUGUCGCGUCGGCUGUGAAAACCCGGGGCUCAACCCCGGGCCUGCAGUCGAUACGGGCAGACUAGAGUGCGGUAGGGGAGACUGGAAUUCCUGGUGUAGCGGUGAAAUGCGCAGAUAUCAGGAGGAACACCGGUGGCGAAGGCGGCUUUCUGGCCCGUUCUUGACGCUGAGGCGCGAAAGCUAAGGGUAGCAAACGGGG
rnacentral:rRNA from 1 species